CAUUGCUCGAUGAAUCCAGCUGGCAAGAAACUUCAUCCAAAGAAGAAGAAAGUGAAGAAUACUGCAUGCAGUAACUAAGGACAGCCACUGGCGCGAUGGCAGAGCUAGAGAUGCAAUGAUCCCGUUUGAGGCUCAAGCUCAAAAUUCAACCCGGUGUGGAUUAAUUCAUAAUGAUGAGGGUUGGUCCUCUGCAGCAAAGAGAGCAGCUAAAUCUGGAUUUCUCAGAAGUCCACUAUAGACGGUUCUUCGUUUGAAUUUCCUAAAACAAUGUAACAGAAAUAACGGUAUAAUUAUGACGGUCGUUAAUUCUAUAAUUAUGCUUUACAUGCAAUGUCACGUAUAAUUUUAUAAUUACCUUCUUCUAAGUUAUGAAUCCAUUCACUAGAUUGCUUUUCAUCAUGGUAGAUAGAUCUGAUGUCUAGUUGAUC